rfam:Dipodomys ordii contig_66313, whole genome shotgun sequence.
GGUGGCUCAGCAGUAGAGUGCUUGCCUUGCAUGCAUGAGACCCUGGGUUCGAUUCCUCAGCACCA